AGCUAGAUUAACAAAAGAAAAAUAGUUUAUUGACUGUUUUAAACCGAAAUUAAACAUGCGGAACAUUUUACAUGAUACGGAGUCAAAUGUCAUAUCAGUUUGUUUCGUGUCCGCUCUGUAACUCUUGAACCCCUUAAAGGAUUUCAAAGAAACUUGACACAAAUGUUCACCACACUGAGACGAUGUGCAGAGCGCAUGUUCCGGAUGACUCGCUUCAAGGUCAAUGUCACACUUAAGGGUCAAAGGUCAUAUAUGACUUUGCUUUGUGUAUAUUGCUCUGCAUUGCAGUGCUCUUGUUUUUAUUUGGCAUAUCUCUUUUUUGUACUUACAAUAUUUUUUUUGAAUUACUUCCCUUUUAUGUAACUAUAAAUAGCUUAUUUUGAAACUUUUUAUUAUUGACCGUAGGGAAAAACCGAGACCACUUUUCUGUGGUACAACAUGGAUGGCACUUCCAAUUUUUAUGUCUAUUUUUACAUAUCUUUGCCUGAUAAGGAUUUUUUUAUGUAGACUUUGAAUAUAUUAUUUGGGUACUUUUGUUUUUUGAAGUUUUCCUUUUGUUGUUCCAGUCCUUUGGGCUACAACAGUCAAGUUCUUAAAAUUUUGCUCCCAUCCUAUGAUGUAAGCCUUCGGGCGUAUAUUGCCCCGCUUGGCGGUGCUCUUGUUAAGUCUUCAGUUGACUGUAUGUUAUUUCAGAUGAGUUGGGCGGACGUCCAUAGACUUUGUCCGGAGCAUAUCUUCUUCAUGCACGGAGUGAUUUUGAUGAAACUUGGCACAAUUGUUCAUCAUCAUGAGACGGAGUGUUAUGCGUAAGAACUAUGUCCAUAGGUCUAAGGUCAAGGUCAAACUUAGAGGCCAAAGCUCAGCUACAAGAAUGACUGUCCGGAGCAUUUAUUCUUCAUGCAUGGAAGGAUUUUGAUGUUACUUUUGAAGAAUUGUUCACCAUCAUGAGACAGAGUGUCAUGCGCAAGAAGCAGGCAGAUGUGUACAUACAAGAUGGAAAAUAUACAAAGGAGAAGUUUUCCUCCAAUAUGAAGGACAACUAGUAGAGAUGGAUUCACAAGGAGAUGACACUUACGUUGAUGAGAUGGAGGUAGGACAAAAGAUGAAGUCCCUGAAAUCAGUACUCCUGGGAGCUAGUUGACAGAAACUGGUAGUUGCAUUUGUUGCUUAAUGUGGGGGUGAAUAUGUAUCCACGUUCCUGUCUUCUACAACACAUGGUUUCAAGCAGUGUAGUGCAAGU